rnacentral:snRNA from 1 species
GUGCUCAUUUUGGCAGCACAUAUGCUAAAACUGGACCAUACAGAGAUCAGUGUGGCCCCUGUGCGAGGGUGACACACAAAUUUGUGGAGCGUUCCGUUUUUUU